CUACGGGGGGCUGCAGUGAGGAAUAUUGCACAAUGGGGGGAACCCUGAUGCAGCAACGCCGCGUGGAGGAUGACGCAUUUCGGUGUGUAAACUCCUUUUAUAUGUCAAGAAAAUGACGGUAGCAUAUGAAUAAGCACCGGCUAACUCCGUGCCAGCAGCCGCGGUAAUACGGAGGGUGCAAGCGUUACUCGGAAUCACUGGGCGUAAAGGGCGCGUAGGCGGGUUGGAAAGUCAGGUGUGAAAUCCUACAGCUUAACUGUAGAACUGCACUUGAAACUUCUAAUCUAGAGUAUGGGAGGGGGAGAUGGAAUUAGUGGUGUAGGGGUAAAAUCCGUAGAUAUCACCAGGAAUACCUAAAGCGAAGGCGAUCUCCUGGAACAUUACUGACGCUAAGGCGUGAAAGCGUGGGGAGCAAACAGGAUUAGAUACCCUAGUAGUC
rnacentral:rRNA from 1 species